rnacentral:sRNA from 1 species
ACCACAAUCAACCAAACAUUCCUUUAAAA